AGCAUUCAGGGCAGCUAGGAUGUGUCAGUAUUGGGAGGCAAGGAUGAUGAUGGCCAAUGGAAACGUUCUUCCUCUUAUGCAUGCUCACCGUGCAGCAUUUGCAGGUGGGCCGUCUGGAAUCACAGCCAUGACUCUGCCUGGUGUUAUUUCCUCAUUUGUUGUUUUCUCCAUCUGCUCAUUUAUUUUCCUGGUUAUGGUCUUCUCUCUGUCUCCAUCUCCCCCUGCUCAUUUGUAGGCAGUCAACCUACAGAAGAGCAUCUGCUGGACCCUGAGUGGGGAACAGACAGGCGGAACCCUUGCAAAUGUAAAAGCCAGGAGUGGGUCAGACCCCAGAUGAAGAAAUUACCUGGUCAGAAGGACAAACUACCCUCAGCCAGACUUCCCUGCCAAAGCCUGCCUCCAGCACUGUUCCCGGCACUUGCAGGUCUGCAGGUAAGUGCUUCCAUCAAGAGAACUUUGUGG
ensembl:lncRNA